CGCUGGCGGCGUGCCUAAUACAUGCAAGUCGAGCGAACCGAUUAAGAGCUUGCUCUUAUGAAGUUAGCGGCGGACGGGUGAGUAACACGUGGGUAACCUGCCCAUAAGACUGGGAUAACUCCGGGAAACCGGGGCUAAUACCGGAUAACAUUUUGCGCCUCAUGGCGCGAAAUUGAAAGGCGGCUUCGGCUGUCACUUAUGGAUGGACCCGCGUCGCAUUAGCUAGUUGGUGAGGUAACGGCUCACCAAGGCGACGAUGCGUAGCCGACCUGAGAGGGUGAUCGGCCACACUGGGACUGAGACACGGCCCAGACUCCUACGGGAGGCAGCAGUAGGGAAUCUUCCGCAAUGGACGAAAGUCUGACGGAGCAACGCCGCGUGAGUGAUGAAGGCUUUCGGGUCGUAAAACUCUGUUGUUAGGGAAGAACAAGUGCUAGUUGAAUAAGCUGGCACCUUGACGGUACCUAACCAGAAAGCCACGGCUAACUACGUGCCAGCAGCCGCGGUAAUACGUAGGUGGCAAGCGUUAUCCGGAAUUAUUGGGCGUAAAGCGCGCGCAGGUGGUUUCUUAAGUCUGAUGUGAAAGCCCACGGCUCAACCGUGGAGGGUCAUUGGAAACUGGGAGACUUGAGUGCAGAAGAGGAAAGUGGAAUUCCAUGUGUAGCGGUGAAAAACGUAGAGAUAUGGAGGAACACCAGUGGCGAAGGC
rnacentral:rRNA from 1 species